UACGUAGGGGGCAAGCGUUGUCCGGAAUCAUUGGGCGUAAAGAGCGUGUAGGCGGCCAGAUAAGUCCGCUGUGAAAUCUCGAGGCUCAACUUCGAGCUGUCGGUGGAAACUGUCUGGCUAGAGUCCGGAAGAGGAGAAUGGAAUUCCUGGUGUAGCGGUGAAAUGCGCAGAUAUCAGGAGGAACACCGGUGGCGAAGGCGGAUCUCUGGGCCGUAACUGACGCUGAGGAGCGAAAGCAUGGGGAGCGAACAGG
rnacentral:rRNA from 1 species